GUGCACCAGGCGCGAAAAUUUUUCUCAAUGGGGGAAACCCUGAAGGAGCGACGCCGCGUGGAGGAUGAAGGUCUUCGGGUUGUAAACUCCUGUCAUUUGGGAACAAGUUGCACACGUUAACUGCGUGGGCAUUGAUAGUACCAGAAGAGGAAGAGACGGCUGACUCUGUGCCAGCAGCCGCGGUAAUACAGAGGUCUCAAGCGUUGUUCGGAUUCAUUGGGCGUAAAGGGUGCGUAGGUGGCGCCGUAAGUCAGGUGUGAAAUUUCGGAGCUUAACUCCGAAACUGCAUUUGAUACUGCGGUGCUUGAGGACUGGAGAGGAGACUGGAAUUUACGGUGUAGCAGUGAAAUGCGUAGAGAUCGUAAGGAAGACCAGUGGCGAAGGCGGGUCUCUGGACAGUUCCUGACACUGAGGCACGAAGGCCAGGGGAGCAAACGGGAUUAGAUACCCCAGUAGU
rnacentral:rRNA from 1 species